UGCAUCAGUACAAUAGAGGGAGAAGAAAGACAAGGCUGUCCUGCACAAUUUCUUAACUUCACAUUGUGUGCCAGGGCAACACGGGGAAAAGAAGGCACUUGCCUACUGCUGUUACUCCUGCUGUCAUAGGGGUGACAAUCCAGAGAAAUGGCCUUUGGAUGACCUCCAAGUGAGCUGCUAUUUCCAGAGCAUGAGACAAGAAGAAAAAGACUUGUUCCUCAAGUGUUUACAUAGCCAACAAGACCCUCCUGAAGGAUCCCAAGUCAACCUGAAAUCACCUUUACACAUUAUUAUUUAAAAUGUUCUCCUAUGUGAUUGUAAAAAGAAGACCAGGAAUUAAAAGCUGAGCAUUUUACCAUAAGUUUACCAUAAAAGACUCAGCUAGGUAUGA